UGGGGAAUAUUGCACAAUGGGCGCAAGCCUGAUGCAGCCAUGCCGCGUGUAUGAAGAAGGCCUUCGGGUUGUAAAGUACUUUCAGUCGGGAGGAAGGUGGUAAGGUUAAUAACCUUGGCAAUUGACGUUACCGACAGAAGAAGCACCGGCUAACUCCGUGCCAGCAGCCGCGGUAAUACGGAGGGUGCAAGCGUUAAUCGGAAUUACUGGGCGUAAAGCGCACGCAGGCGGUUGAUUGAGUCAGAUGUGAAAUCCCCGGGCUUAACCCGGGAAUUGCAUCUGAUACUGGUCAGCUAGAGUCUUGUAGAGGGGGGUAGAAUUCCAUGUGUAGCCGUUAAAUGCUUAGAGAUGUGUAGUAAUACCGGUGGCGAUGGCGGCCCCCUGUACAAAGACUGACGCUCAGGUGCGAAAGCGUGGGGAGCAAACAGG
rnacentral:rRNA from 1 species